rnacentral:rRNA from 1 species
GUCUAUGGCCAUAUUAGCCUGAAAAUGCCCCAUCUCAUCCUAUGUCAGAAGCUAAGCAGGGUCAGGCCUGGUUAGUAUCUGGAUGGAUAGUUUUAUUAAAACAAGUUACUGGGCC